CCCGGCCCCUGAGAGAUUGGUUAUGACUUAGUGCCAAGAUCAGUAGUGUCUGCAGCUUCACCGCCAUGGGGGACUUUAUUUUUUCAAAGCCCCUCAACCCAAUCAGUAUAUGUAGAUUGCUGGAGUGCCCAUCCAUCAAUGAGUUUUACCAUGUAAUGUAGUUUAUGCCUAUGUGCACUGAUGCGCAUUAUGGGUUUUAUUUCAGAGCAACCUGUAAUUUCACUUAUCCUGAUUUAAGGCCUCUAAUGUGUGUCUCUGGGCGUGUCUGCACCAUGCAUUAUUCAAACUGUGUUUUUGAGCUGCCUUCCAUCCACAUUAAGUGGUCAGUGUAAAUGAAGUUGGUAGCACAAGCUUUCAUAGACUAAAGACACAUCUACACUGUCAGAUUAAUGCAUGUUGACACCACUUUAACUGCCAUGGCUCAAUGCUAUGGGGUUUUGGGGUUUGUAGUUUGGCGAGGCAUCAGCAUUCUUUGCUAGAGAAGGCUACAGAAUUGUAAAACUACAACUGCUUUAAAGAGACCCAGAUAGUCCGGUAGAGAUGCAAAUUCUCUUACUAACAGUCUUUCCGGAAGCUGUGUCUUAGGCAGCCGCCAAAAUGUGAAGUCAGCUAAAUAAACAAAUUAAAGUUGUCUGUGGAAUUAAUGGAUUCUGCUUCUCUCUGUCUUUCUGUCUUUUUUCUUCUUCUUCUGUGUCUCUUUUGGCAAAGCUUUACAGUUGCAUCAGAAAUGUGGUGUGGAGUCAUCACCUUUCCCGUUCAGAGUUGAUGGCAUUUUCUCAAGAUGACCUCUUAGCAGGAUAAAAUCAAUACUAGUUCUGUCUCCAAAAACGUCCAGCUAUAUUCUUUAUCCAUUAAGCCCUGCAAUUCCUUUUAUGAAAUUGUGGAGAGGGAGAUGGAAACCAUAAUUUAACAUUACUGUAUGAAAAAUGAGGCUGGCUGCUGCCAGUAUGUGUCUCUUCAGAGGAGACUUCCUUCUCUCCCCAAAGAAGGGGAAAUCCCACAAAGAACCAAGGAGGGUCUGAUGAGAAAGAAGUUCAAGUUAUGCCACAGCCACAAACUCAGAAGGUGUCCUUAGGGUUGACAGUAUCUCCUCGGUGUAGAACAGGAUUGGAAAGAACAGUCAAAUAAAAUAGUCAAAUACAAAUUUUGAGUGUUGAGAAACUCCAAUCCUGAUCUGAGGAGAAGAUUCAUAAUUCAGGGCUUAUUACACAGAAAAUUCGUAUAGGGUUGCUUUUUGGAUUUUCCAUGCAGAAAAUAAUAUUUCUAUCCAAAAAUAGAAUUCCAUGUGUAGAAAAUGAUUUAAAUUGGGAUUUAUUCUUUGUGAAAUGUGCGGGUGGUUGACUUGCAUGAAAACAAAACAAAACAUUUUGCUUAAUUUCUGUGCAAAACAGCCAGAUGUAAAUUUGCACAGAAUAUGUCCUGGAUUGCAAAUAGGUCUGUGUGGUUUUGAAAAAAUUUCUCAAUAGAAGGCAGAAAAAUAAAAAAUGUAUUGUUUUCUUUAAUAAAGACUUAGCCCAGAAGUAUAUCCCUAAUCUGGACUAUGCAUUAAUUUAUUUCAUUUUAUUGCAUUUUUUCUUGAGCUUCCACUUAAAAAGGCAAUCAAGGCAGUUAACAACAUUAUUGACAAGGAGUUAAAUUAUAAAAUCAUUACAAAUCCUUAACAUCACAACAAAUGAAAUGAUAAAACCAAUGUCAUCAUCUGCCCAUAAACAGUGAUUAUAUUUUGGUUCUUGCAGAAUGCUAUUUGAUGAGAAAACCUCUUUUCACUGGAAGAUAUAUAGUUUUAAGCAAGGAAGAAUACUUUCCAGUGAUACCAAUGUUGGAAUGGCAACCACCAAAGAUAAUGUCAAAAAGGUAUUUACACCUGUCUUAUUAGCAAGUCUCUUGCUUUGCCAGGUCUAAGUGACAUGGAAUAGAUGGCUCAGAUCAUGGUGGAGGGAAAGAAUUCACAAGUGGUGAUAAGGCUUCACACACAUCCAAGUAUUCCUAAAUUGAAAAAAAAGAAUCCUCCAAAAUCCAAAUUUCAAAUAAUGGAUACUCAAUUUCUAUUACUCAGUUACAAUGAUAGUUUGCACAUUGUGAUUUUAUCUACAAGCAUGAGCUGUUGUUUUAGUUCAUAGAAUUAUAGAAUUGGAAAAGACCACAAGAACCAUCCAGUACAAUCGCUUGCCAUGCUGGAACACACAAUCAAAACACCUCUGACAGAUGGCCAUUCAGCCUGUGCUUAAAAUUCUCCAGAGAAGGAGACUCCACCACAGUCCCAGGCAGUAGAUUCCACUACCGAACAACUCUGGAUUGUCAGGAAGUUCUUCCGAAUGUUUAGGUGGAAUCUCUUUACCCGCGAGUUGAAUCCCAUGCUCCACAUCCUAGUCUCCAGAGCAACAGAAAACAUGUUUUCUCCAUCCUUAAUGUGACAUCCUUUCUAAAAUGUAAACAUGGCUCUCAUGUUUGUCAGCCUUCUUUUCUCCUAGCUAAACACAUAUAGCUCCCUAAGUUGCUUUUCACAGGACUUGGCUUCCAAACCUUUGGCCAUUUUGUUCACUCUUUCCUGGACACCUUUCAGCUUUUCAAUAUCCUUCUUGAAUUGCUUUGCCCAGAACUGGACACAGUAUUAUUCCAUGUGAGGUCUCACCAAAGCAGAAGAGAGUGGGAUUAUGAUGUCCCUCGAUCUAAACACCAUCAACUCCGCUGGACUGGCCACGUUGUCCAAAUGCCCGAUCAUCGUCUCCCAAAGCAGCUACUCUACUCCGAACUCAAGAAUGGGAAACGGAAUGUUGGAGGGCAGGAAAAGAGAUUUAAAGAUGGGCUCAAAGCCAACCUUAAAAACUGUGACAUAGACACUGAGAACUGGGAAGCCCUGGCCCUUGAGCACUCUAAUUGGAGGUCAGCUGUGACCAGCAGUGCUGCGGAGUUCGAAGAGGCACGAACGGAGGGUUUAAGGGAGAAACGUGCCAAGUGGAAGGACUGUCAAGCCAACCCUGACUGAGACUGCCUUCCACCUGGAAACCGAUGUCCUCACUGUGGUAGAACAUGCAGAUCAAGAAUAGGUCUCUUCAGCCACCUAAGAACUCAUCCUCAGGACCCCACAACUGGAAGACCAUCAUCCUCGAACUAUGAAGGAUCGCCUAAGUAAGUAAGUAAGCUACCAUUAAUGCAGCCUAGUUGUUGCUGGAAGCUAAUUUUGUCAAGUUUUCUUGCAUUUUAGCUACAAUAUUGUGGUCUGGUCUGGAGUAGAAGAAGGUCCAUGGGGACUUCGUGAGCAGAGUUACCAUAAUGGAUGAAACCAACCCUAGUGACACAGUUGAUUGAACAAUUUAUCUCCAGAUGAUCAAGUAGGUGUUUCUCCUAUCUUUGCAUCCUGUCCAGCUUUAAGCCUUCUGGGUGCAAAGUGAGUGUUCUGCCACUGAGCUAUGGCCUUCCCUUCACUAGUCUUUUGUCUCUAUCUCCACCGCCUUCCUGGUUCAUCUUCCAGUCCAUCUGACUAGAAUGAGAACAGGCCAGUACAACAAAACAAGCAUUCCUCUUUCCCCAGAAACCAUCUUCCAAAAGGAAUUAAAAAAUGAGAGAGGGAAGCCAUCCAGUAAAAAAAGAUAUAUUUUGACUUUUAAAUGUCAACAGAGCUUGGAAAUCCAUGAUAUAAACUUUUGCCUAAAAAAAUCAAUCCCAUGUUACGAUUUGAUUAGCAGACAAUUGCGAUCCCAUUUGUUUCUACAUUUGUCUGCCUCCUGUCCUUUUCAUUCAUAGGCUAGCCAACGUAAAGCUUUCACUAAAGACUCCCCAAGAAAGUCAGUGACAUUAAAAUGUCCUUUGAUGCUCUUUCACUAAGCAGUGAAUAUUAACAGUUAUGGUGACCUUGCUCCCUAAUGUGUUUCCCCUGAAUCAAUAGCAGUUAAGUGGCACUGUUUUACAAUUAAAAAGGGGAUCGUUUUAAAUUUAAAAGCUCAUAGCUAAUUUUCUUCUUGGCACUUAAUGGCAUAAUUCAUUUUUGAAAAACCACAUAGGGAGAGCAUAUACUUUAUUCUUUUGUUGGCAGCCUUUGGAGAAGAGAGUUUUUUGUAGUUAUUGGAGAACCAGCUGGAGAAAGCCAGGGUCUCUCAAGAUUUGAAUUAUUUCCCAGGUUCAGCUUAAACAAUUCCAUUUAAAUAUAGGCCCUGCAGGUCUUCUGGAAGAAUAAUGGUCAUGCACAUUCAUAUAACCAUGGUGUGUGUGUGUGUGUGAUGUAUCUAACUCCCCUCCUUCCCAAAGUUUAGAAGUAACUGGUUGCAAAAAUUAGCCAUUUGCAAUUUGUUCCUUUCCCCAGUAAUGCAAAUGUGUCAUUUUGUUUCUCCUCCCAGUUGAAGGACAUGGAGAGAAGAAAACUGGAGGUGAAUAACUGGUUCCUUAAAUAGUGCUGCUAGAACAGUUUGGCUUCUUGGAUCUUGGUUUGAUGUUGCAUGAAGAUAGAUUUCUGUCCGCAGAGCUCCAUUCAGUUACAGCUGCCGGCUGUUGAUAGUUCAGAUACUUCCUUAAUUGUGAGAUACUGGAGAUGUUACUCCCGUGGCUGAACCAGAUGUCCAGAGUUCCCCAGAGAACGUGCCCUUCAACCGAAGGGAGUUUCUGCAUCGCCAAAGAUCAGAAAAACAAGGGCUUUGAAGGAGUAACCGUUUGGCAUCUCGAGGGGAUUGUGGAUAAGAAGAUUCCCUUGGGAACCUUUGGGGAGUUUGAUUUCCCUUAGUUGGGAUCUGAUCUUUGUUCCAUAAAAUUAUCUUGCACUGCAAACACUUUGCGGUGUCAACGUAGCGAUUUCCUGAGAACAGUUCACCGACUCUAGUUUCCUGAUUACACCAAUCCAAGUUUCCUGUUCCUGGAGGCCAAGCCGAGCCGCGACUCCCGAUUAGAACCGGAGUAAAUUCACUUCCUUGCCUUGUUCCUGAAUCAAGAUUGGUUUUAGCUUCGUCUCGUUCCUGCCUUGAUAUCAAACACUUCCUAGUGAUUUUGGACCUUGUUAUUCACUCUUGCUUCCUUGUUGUUUUCCUCGCUCAAGAACUUUCCAACAGUUUUGAGCGUGUUUCGGUUUCUGGACUUUGGCCAAUAAUAUUGGACAUUUCUCUUCAACUCUUUGGACUAAUUCAUACCAUAUCCUAAAGGACUAUUGCUCACUCAUCCUUUCCACUUAUUCUUUCCUGAAUUUAUAGUUGUUUUAAUAAAGAUAUGAUUCUUGGUCUCUG